GAUGAACGCUGGCGGCGUGCCUAAUACAUGCAAGUCGAACGGACAGAUGAUGAUCUUGCUCCUCGCUCGUUAGCCGCGCGGGUGUGUGUCACACGUGUAUAACCUACCUGUAAUACUGAUAUCACUUCGGGACUCCGGAUCUAAUCCCGUAGAAUCUAUUGAACCACGUUGUUCAUUAGUUAAAUACGGUUUUUCUGUCACGUAUCGAUGCAUACGCGCCGAAUUAUCUAGUUGGUAAGGUAAAGGCUUACCAAGGCUACGAUGCGUAGACGACGUGAGAGGGUGAUAGGCCACACUGGAAGUGAGACACGGUCCAGACUCCUACGGGAGGCAGCAGUAGGGAAUCUUACGCAAUGGGCGAAAGCAUGACGGAGCAACGCCGCGUGAGUGAUGAAGGUCUUCGGAUCGUAAAAAUCUGUUAUUAGGGAAGAACAAAUGUGUAAGUAAAUAUGCACGUAUUGACGGUACUUAAUAAGAAAGCAACGGCUAACUACGUG
rnacentral:rRNA from 1 species